CUUCCAGAUAAUGAGGCAUUGUAAUACCUCAACAAUACCUCCAUAAUAUAUAAAAUAUGGGAGAUGGUCCAUUAGGAGGAUUAAGAACACAUGUUUUGGAAUCAGAAAGGUUUAAAUUCUAGCUGCGGCACUUACUUUCUAGCUAUGAGAACUUGGGGAAAUUAUUUAACCUUUUAAGAUCUUAGCUUUUCUUUUCUUUUUUCUUUUUUUUUUUUGAGAUGGAGUUUUGCCUUGUCACCCAGGAUCCGCCCACCUUGGCCUCCCAA
rnacentral:lncRNA from 10 species